rnacentral:rRNA from 1 species
UACGAGGGGGCAAGCGUUGUUCGGAAUUAUUGGGCGUAAAGGGCGCGUAGGCGGUUUGACAAGUCUGAUGUGAAAUCUCUGGGCUCAACCCAGAGUCUGCAUUAGAAACUGUCGGGCUUGAGUAUGGGAGAGGUGAGUGGAAUUUCCGGUGUAGCGGUGAAAUGCGUAGAUAUCGGAAGGAACACCUGUGGCGAAAGCGGCUCACUGGACCUAACUGACGCUGAGGCGCGAAAGCUAGGGGAGCAAACAGG